rnacentral:lncRNA from 1 species
UGUGCAUUUAGGAUGUUGUCAGCUAUUGUUAUGAAGAGGUUACAUGGAGCUCAGCUAUUGUUAUGAAGAGGUUACAUGGAGAUAAAAUACUGCCACUAGCCUAAUUCAUUUAUAGUAUACUAUUAUAAUAUACCCAGUACUUAAUUUAUUUACAAUAUAUAUAAUACUAUCAGGGUAUAUAACCUUUUAUAGCAUAUCACUUGAAUACUUUGUAAUACAAUGACCUUGAAUGAAAGAUCCUAGUUGUUAAGGUCCCACUUCAUAUAUUCGUUUCAACUUAAUAUCUAGUAUCAGGCAACAUUUGUGGGGCUCGAACGUGAUCCCCAAGAAACUACUGAACUUUAUUUUUAAUUUUAAUUUUUUUUGGUUUUGCUACGGUGCUCACAAAGGAUAGAAGCAUCAUUUCUUUUAAAAGAAAUUGAUCAAACGAUUCAAAAAGAAUGCUCUGUCUGUGGCUGAUGGCGAUCUUUGCUGGAACACGUAAUUAUAUCAAAAUCCAAAGCUACUCUGCAAUAGAAGGCAAUGGCUGGUGCAGUAAACUUUUUAAAUGUUAGGGGUAUUUUCAAAUCUUUUCUCCUCCAACUCCCGAUUCUCUCCUUUGCGUUGGGGCCGGUGGACGGCACAGGGAGACAAACGGCAUGGGAAGGUGGCAGGGUGAACAUCUUGUUCAGCAUAUAUGAGUAGAUUGGAGAGGCAGCUGGUGUGAAAAGACAGCCAGCAAUAGGAGUGUAUAAAAAAAUCGAUCAAACUGUAAAAUUGAUCUAAACUAUUAAUUUUAAUUCAAUUUGGAUCAGUUUUUUUCAAAUUUAAUUGGAUGUUAGUUUAAAAAUUUUAGAAAUUGAAAAAAAAAAAGGAUUCAAUUCCAGUUUCAAUUUAGAAAAAAUCAAUUUAAAUUGAAUUGAUCUAUGGGUGUGUGUCUAUAAAUUUGGAUAAAAUCAAUCAAAUGUGAUCUACUACUUCAAAACUACUGAUACACUAAAAAUUAUAUAAAUUUAGAUAAAAUCAAUCAGAUUUGUACUCAGAUAUGAUCUACUACCUUAAAAUUACUUGUAUACUUAAAAUUAUAUGAUUUGAACACUCCUACCCUAU